UUCGGCCCUCCUCCCGGGCACACCCAGGGCUCACGCGCCGCCAGCCUGCCCUUGCUGGGUUCAGACAAGGCUGAGAAUUUUCUGGUCUUUAUCUGGUUUAGUUUUGAGUGCUUCCAGCGGCAGCGGGGCCGUUCCACCACAGUCCCCAGGAAAUUGGUCCACGUAGGACGGAGCCUUCCCGAGAAUGAAGUCAUCUGUUCCUUUUUUAUUUUUUGUUGCCUUUUCUCCUUCAGCACGAGUCACCCGGCCUCUGCAGUCUCUCCCCGCGAAAACACGGCCCGCGAGGGGGUCAGCCGGGCUGGCUGGGGGAAGGAGCGAGGAGAGAACCCCACAGGCCGGGGCUGCCCGGGGCGCCCCCUCGCCGCCCCAGAUCUUUGCCCAGCGCCCGCCUCCCGUUCCCACCCGCGACUUCCCCGGGACCGCCCGAAAGAUGCUGAUAGGAGACUCCGCAGUUUUAGAGACAGAAGGAGCUAGAGCAGGACAGCCCAGCCUUCCUGUUUGAACUCCUCCUGCUCUGGGUGGACGUGAGGAUCAAAUGUGAUAUUCCCCUACAUGAAAACACAAGGCUGUCAGUAAAUGCAUGGCGGGGUGGGAGACCAGGAGCCCAGCAAAGCCGGUCCCCAGCUGCUCUGCUGACUGUCCUUGUCUGGAACUCAGCUUCUCCACGUGCACAAUAAGGAGGACAGACAGGGUAAAUCCUGAAGAGUUUCCCAAAUCUGCUGUCGUCUGAUGUCUGUAAUGCUGAGGCCCUUGGCAGGGGUUGGGGUGAGGGAGAGAAUGAAAGAGAACCUCUGGAGCUCACUGCCCUGCCAGGAGAGGAGAAGACCUACAGACCUUGGCUUUGACCUUGAGGAAAUGGAAAAACUUGGACCUUAAAGACAGAUUUCCAUGGCUAAGACAUGGGCAGGCUGUGUGACCUUGGGCACGUUACCUAACCUCUCUGAACCUCAUGUGCUAGUGAGGAUUCAGUGAGCUGACAACUGUACAGGGCCUAAAAGGCCUCCUGGCAUGGACUAAUCUCUCAGUAAACCGGUGCUUUCUCUUUUU